rnacentral:rRNA from 1 species
UGGGGAAUAUUGCACAAUGGGGGAAACCCUGAUGCAGCGACGCCGCGUGAGCGAAGAAGGUUUUCGAUUCGUAAAGCUCUGUCCUAUGAGAAGAUAAUGACGGUAUCAUAGGAGGAAGCCCCGGCUAAAUACGUGCCAGCAGCCGCGGUAAUACGUAUGGGGCGAGCGUUGUCCGGAAUUAUUGGGCGUAAAGGGUACGUAGGCGGUCUAUUAAGUCAGGUGUGAAAGCGUGAGGCUUAACCUCAUUAAGCACUUGAAACUGAUAGACUUGAGUGAAGGAGAGGAAAGUGGAAUUCCUAGUGUAGCGGUGAAAUGCGUAGAUAUUAGGAGGAAUACCGGUGGCGAAGGCGACUUUCUGGACUUUUACUGACGCUCAGGUACGAAAGCGUGGGGGGCAAACAGG